rnacentral:rRNA from 1 species
GGGUCAGUAGGUUGGUCGUGCCACCGGUACGUACUGGUCUCACUGAUUCCUCCUUCCUGAAGAACCGUAAUGCCAUUGAUUUGGUGUUGCGGGGAAACAGGACUGUUACUUUGAAAAAAUUAGAGUGUUUAAAGCAAGCUAACGCUUGAAUACAUUAGCAUGGAAUAAUGAAAUAGGACGAUCGAUCCUAUUUUGUUGGUUUCUAGGAUUGACGUA